rnacentral:rRNA from 1 species
AUUGAACGCUGGCGGCAGGCUUAACACAUGCAAGUCGAGCGGGGGAAGGUAGCUUGCUACCGGACCUAGCGGCGGACGGGUGAGUAAUGCUUAGGAAUCUGCCUAUUAGUGGGGGACAACAUCUCGAAAGGGAUGCUAAUACCGCAUACGUCCUACGGGAGAAAGCAGGGGAUCUUCGGACCUUGCGCUAAUAGAUGAGCCUACGUCGGAUUAGCUAGUUGGUGGGGUAAAGGCCUACCAAAGCGACGAUCUGUAGCGGGUCUGAGAGGAUGAUCCGCCACACUGGGACUGAGACACGGCCCAGACUCCUACGGGAGGCAGCAGUGGGGAAUAUUGGACAAUGGGGGGAACCCUGAUCCAGCCAUGCCGCGUGUGUGAAGAAGGCCUUAUGGUUGUAAAGCACUUUAAGCGAGGAGGAGGCUACUCUAGUUAAUACCUAGGGAUAGUGGACGUUACUCGCAGAGUAAGCACCGGCUAACUCUGUGCCAGCCGCCGCGGUAA